GUGUAACCCGUUUUUUUUUUCAAUUUUUAUCAAUACAUUUAUUUGUUCGAUUACAGUGGAUGCAAGCGACGCCAACGAUGCUGCCUGAUGCAUUGUUGCAGUCUGAUGGCCUGCGGGGUGUUUGGCGUCAUUGUCGCGUUUUCGAUCUAUUUUGCAUAAAGUCAAGUAACUACAUGUCAAGUAAAUGGAUUGUUGUUCAAUACAUCUAUGCGCAAAAAAAGAGCUACAAUAUGUAAACCAAAUUAGAAGAGAUAUGAAACAACAAGAAAGGCGUCAUGAUAAGGAAGAAAAGCAGUUCCAAAAAGAAUUGAAAAAACUACAAAACAAACGAAAGAGACGAUUACAUGCUCUUAAGAGAGCCGUUAGAAAGUGGGAUCCGAAGGACGAGAGAAAAUGUCGUGUUUUCCGUACUCCAUCGAAAGUUAUAAUUGCGAGGAAAUGCGUCUGCAAAAAACUAUUUUUAAAAAAACUCCGCCCAUGCUGCUGUCUUAUCGUCAUUGGACUUGUGAUUUUAUUAGCUAUAGCACUCCCAAUUGGCCCUUGAGUACGAUUCAUUGCAUAUCGUGGCGCAUCCUACCGAAUGCGCCAGUACGCAGUGACUAGCAGACGCAUCGUGGCGGUCAAAGUGUUCACAAAUACCUAAACAGAACGUCUAUUAUCAAGCUUAAACAAGUUUAAGAUCAAGUUUAAAUAAACUCACAGGUAUGGCACCUCACCCGCUCUGAUGGCGAUCUGAUGGCGACUGUGCCUAUAGCGAGUAGAAGCGAAUUAAGAAAUUAUAUAAAGUUAGACCAAGAAUAGUCUGCAGCAGUUUUGAUAGCCCACGCAGUAG